CCCCUCUCAGGAUCACACCUGGAGAGCUUCUAGUACUCUUCCAGUCUUGGCUACGGGAGCGAGAAUCAAACAGAGGCAUACCCAUUCCAUUCCUAGCUGGGGCAGUGGGUAGCAAGUGGAAGACAUUCUGCUACAACU